UCUCCCUCUCAUCUUUCUUUCUCACUCUAAACCACCAUCAACACCACCACCGUCACCAUCAUAGCCACAACCACCUCCGUCUCCAACCACCACCUCAACCACAAACCUCUAGCACACUCUUUGUGCUGGGAACAAAUUCGUUUUUGUCAAUUAUGAGAAGCAGCUGGGCUUUCAUUCUCCUAACAGUAGGAGACUAAUCGAACUUAUACAGAUUGGACGAGAAAGAACAGGAGCCAGCACCGACCUUCUUUUCAAGCUAACCGUCAAUUCUCACACCGAUUCCAAAUUCGAUUUCUUCCCUGAAUCCUCCAACGCAAUAGAUCCAGAUCUCGAUCGUCUAUUUCAAGCUCUUAGAUCCAAACCUAAACCUAAAAUCUCCGCCGCUCAUGAAGAUGUAGAUGACCUGUUUGCUCGAUUCGCUGCUCUCAGACGUCCUCAAAAGGAGGCGGAGACGAGCGGGAGUGAUGGGAUAGGACUUGGUGAGACCGGGUAAGACGGGGACGUAAACUAGCUUCUCCUGAAACGCCACCAGCAACACCAUUCCGGCCACCACCAUUCCGCCGAUGCUGUAGAUCACCAAGUUUAACCUAAUCAGAGUUGUUUAAAAUUCAAACAAUCAGUUGCGGGUUAUUUUAGCUUAGUUUUUCUCGAGCGAGCAGUGGGAAAUUCUUCUGCACUAUUCUUGAAGUCUGAUGUAGGAGAGUGGAGGACUUCAUGAAGCAAUCCGAUGCUACUCCAGACUCUGAUGAUUUAAAGUAUCGCUUUAUCAAGCAAGUUGUGGAUCAAAUAUAUGAGGAUAGGGCUACUCUUCAAGAGCUGAAGAGGUGUUUUGAUGGACUGCAUCUUGGUCUGUUUACGAGAGACCAAGUGUCCAGAAACCUGAUGGUGAUGCCUUCAACUGUCGUACGCAACCUUUGUGUUGUCAGUAAUAUAGAGUGCGGAGAUAGAGACUUGGAGUUCAUGGCGACGCUCAAAGAUAUACAUAGAGAAGUUCGGUACUCGAUGGAGUUGAAGCUAAAAUUUCUUAGUUUUUGCUGUUAGAUUAUUAAAUUUCGUUAUUCAAUACUCGAUGUAAUUGUUGAUCUAUCCUCGUAUGCCAUAGAUAAAUUUUAAUUCUAUUAAUC